AGUGAACGCUGGCGGCGUGCUUAACACAUGCAAGUCGAACGAGAACGGAUUAUAGCUUGCUAUAAUUGUCAGCUAAGUGGCGCACGGGUGAGUAAUGUAUAGGUAAUAUGCCUCUUACUAAGGGAUAACAAAUGGAAACGUUUGCUAAUACCUUAUACUCCUUAUUAACAGAAGUUAAUAAGGGAAAGAUUUAUUGGUAAGAGAUUAGCCUGUAUUGUAUCAGUUAGUUGGUGGGGUAAUGGCUUACCAAGACUAUGAAACCUAACUGGUUUGAGAGGAUGAUCAGUCACACUGGAACUGAGACACGGUCCAGACUCCUACGGGAGGCAGCAGUGGGGAAUAUUGCACAAUGGACGAGAGUCUGAUGCAGCAACGCCGCGUGGAGGAUGACACAUUUCGGUGCGUAAACUCCUUUUAUAUGAGAAGAUAAUGACGGUAUUAUAUGAAUAAGCACCGGCUAACUCCGUGCCAGCCGCCGCCGUAAAAC
rnacentral:rRNA from 1 species